rnacentral:SRP_RNA from 2 species
GCUGGGUGUGGUGGCUCACGCCUGUAAUCCCAGCACUUUGGGAGGCCGAGGCUGGAGGAUCGCUUGAGCCCAGGAGUUCUAGACUAGCCUGGGCAACAAAGUGAGACCCCGUCUCUA